GUUGAUUUUGCUGUCUUCCACUGCCAUGAACUGUUGCCCCUCUGUCACUCUGUCUUGGAGCCAACAGAUUAUGGACGAAACCUCUACAAACUUCUCUGAUAUGACACCUGGAAUUUCAGCAGCCAUUAUGUGCCCAUUGUGGAGCCAUCUUGACGGAAGAACUGACACUGAAAAGUGAAGUGGUAGGAAAAACCCAACACCUUGAUGAUAUUGUUGAGGCCCUGGAUUAACUAUCUUAGGUCUCACUCCAUUUUGGAUUUUCUGUUGUAUGAAGUGAAAAAUGCCUUUAGUGUUGAAGUUACUUUGAUUCAGAUUUUCUGUUGUUUUGCAUCUCAAGUUAUCCUAACUGACAUAUACUUCAAUAUGAAUGUAUGUAGCCCAGGGAGUUUCUCCAAGUUCUCUUCUAUUCACAGAGGAAGCUUCUAUCUAAAACUUGAGAAAAUAGAGAGAUGCAGAGCUGAGGAGAGAGAUGAGAAAUACAUCCAAGUGACAAUAGCUCAGAUACAUGAGACAACACAUUUGCUUUCCUUUUGUCCAUUAAAGUUGGGGUGUUUGCCCCUUGUAACAAAAAGUGAUCUUACUGAUACAGAUGGAAUAGGAAUGGAGCCCCCAGCACAAGAAAGUCAUCUUAGAGCAAACAAGAGAUAUAAGUACUUUGGAUGCCAGUAUACUCAAAUUAAUUUGAACCCUGUGGCUGUUUCUAUACUGGCAAACAAAGCAGAAUGAAGCACUACACAAACCCCCUACCUUUCCCAAAUAUAACAAAAUAUUUUUGCCUCGAGUAUUAAUAAAAUUAAGGAAAGUAUGGGCACAAGUUUUGUCACUUGUCACAAUUUCAUACUCCAUUGAAUCAUUGUAGGUAUUACCUGUAUGUUCCAUAUAGAUACUUGAUUGUAUUAGAUCAUAUUGGAUCCAUAAAAGUAAAGAGUUAAAAGGAAACUUAUAUAAAUCUCUUUCAAAUUUCUCAUUUUACAAAGUAGGAAAUGGAAGCCUAAAGAGAGAAGUGAUCACCAAGGUCACAUAGUUAGAGUGGCAGAGACACGGCCAGAAGCUUCAUCUCCUGACCGUCCUAUCCCUGCUCAUCCUCCCUCACCUCCCCAGUAUGAUAUUGGGUCUCAGUUUCUGAAUGGUCCAUGCAGAGACUGAAGAUUUGUCCUGGUUUUCCUGCACUGCUAGAAGUCACUAUCAUAGUACUCAAAAAUCAUCCCAGGCAGUGGAACCCAGAAGGAAACAUAUUUUAAACUCUUCUUCCUGGAGAAACUGUGUCUCCAGGCAAGGGAGCCCCUGUGAUGGGCAGAACCACUGUCCUCAGCGGGGACAGAUGGACGGUCCGGAGUGGCUGGUCUGGCAGCCUGCUCUCCUUCAAGCUGAGUAAAGCCAGCUGGAUUUUGAAAGGGCAGAAUAACCAGAGUCAGCACAAUAGGAGAAUGGGCCCUCCCAGUGGCAGAAGCCAUAGAAUCUUUUGUGCCACCAAAAAGUCAAUCCAGAUUUAAGGCUGACACACAGGUGGGGUGGGUGGGCCUCUGUGAUUUGAUGGGCUCUCCGAGGCUCUGCCUGCCUAAAAAUAUUUCCACUGCCCACCUGCCUAGGACACCCUCCUUUCUUAUCAGGCCUGAAAUUCCUACCACUUGUGUCACUAUGGUUUUCGAUGACAAAGGAUGGGACAUGUUUCCCAGCAGGUCACCAUUAAAGCAGAUUUCCAGGGAGUAGAAGGGAGGCCCUGGAGUAUGCCCCUUUUAGCACAAAGAGCUAAUACUGUCAGAAGCCCAGGGAAGACAGGAGUGGCCUGCUUUACAAUUUUUCCUCCUGUUGAGACACCAGUCACUCAAUUCAUUCAUGCCCCUAUGACCAGGACCUUGAAGAAAUUAGGCAGCAGCCUUCAAAGAAAAUAAAAUAGUGGCCCUGUAAGUAAAGGAGCAGAUUCUGCCUCUCUUCUGCAGUCCAAUCUAGGUUUGGCUUCUUCCCUCUGUGGGAAUCUGGGUCUGAGUUGGAGAGCUUUUCCUCAUGCAUGGGGUAGCAAGAUAUCAGAAUGCUCCCAGAUUUCAGUGGGCCACAUCUAAGUGUCAUUGUUUCUCCCCAAAUUCUUCCCCACUUCCUCAUACCCAUUGGGCAAUUCCAGAAGGAAAUUUAAAAACCAGAUGUGUUAGGACCUGGCAUGCUAUUGAGAAGUAGAGAAAUGAAAUACUGGGAGGUAUGGGAGGGCAUAGGGGGCAUUCACAACCCUGUUGAUUGGUUUUGUCCACCCCAUUCCAACAGGUGGGAGCCUGGGCCGAGGUCUGUCAGAGGCUGGAGCAAGGGAGAGAUAUUGACAGGGUGGGUCACAGGGGAACAGUCACUAACAGGAAGGGCCUGCCAAGCAGCAGAGUAAUUAAUGAUCUUGGGCUUGGAGAGCAGACAAUGGCCAGAGGAGGGGAGGAUAGUGUCGAUGGGGUGGGGAUUGUGCUGAGAAUUUAUAAGCUCUGGUGUGAAGGGGAAGCUGACUGAAUAUUUAAGAAUAUAGUUGGCAUAGGACUGACUUAUCAGGUAGAAUCAAGGUGGUACCUUGAUUUGGGUCAGGUCAUUCUUUCAUUUAUUAACAAGGUACACAUGGAUAAGACUGAAGAACUCAGUUGAAGGGACUGAUUAAUGUCAGAUUGUUUUGUGAUUAUCUUAUCUGAGGCAGACAUACCUUGGAGGGGGUGGCUUGCCCUUGAAGCAAAUAGAUAGUCUCACUGUCAGUUACCUUGACAAGAAUUUAAUUUGAUGAUGGCCAUAAGGAGAGAAAGAGGACAAGUUUCCCCAAAGUAGGGCAUCUCUCCAGCUUGGGUCCCUAGGCCAAGAUAACCCUGGGAUAUUUCCAGUGUGAGUGCACAUUAGGGCAACAGAAGGGCUAUCUUUUGUCACAUGUGGGCAUCUAGGAGCCGGACACAAAACAGAUCCUGAGGAUGGAUCCUGAUUAUGAAGAAGAGAGUUUGUCAAUGCUCAGUUUUCAUAAAUAUCUUUCAUUUACCUCAGACUGAGAGAAAAUUCUCCUUAAAAUCUCAGCCAAGUCUCAGUGACAGUGUAACGGCUGAGGUGAAAGACUGACACCUACUCAGGACCAAGCAGCAGAGCAGUGAGCAGCACCCACUCUUUGAGGCCAGGGAAGUAGAAUCAGUGGCAAUGAGAGGGCAGCCAUACCCAGGAGGACUGUCAAGAAGGUCAUGGACGAGGCAGUGUCUGAGAGACAAGGUGAUGAGGAAUACCCUUGUGAACUUGUUCCCAGACAUGUGUGAAGCAGCACUCUGAGAAGCCCUGUAAAAUGGUUUGAGGCUCUCAGAGAUCAAGAGUCUCAGCUCAGGUCACUGCGACUUGAUGUGUUUUCUCUUAUAUGUCCAAUGUGCCCCAAAGGGCCUGGGAUUGUGUUGGGCUUAGGGACCGAGAUGGGUUACACAUGAUCCUUCCUCCAGGGACCUUUUCUUCUAAGUAAUUGCCCGGUCCUUGCAGGCAUCUGGAACCAGAGUCCCCUGUGUCCUGGAUGUGGAGGUUCUGCUUGCUUUCCUGUGCAUCAUUUGUGUUACCAAGUCCACAGCUCAGCCUUAGGAACCAGAGGUUUAUAAGGUUCAAGAGUUUCUGGCUCACCCCUUGGGUUUCACGAACUUAGAGACACUUAGUGGUAGGAUCUGGUAGGUCAGAGGGUUCCAGACCUCUCUCUUGGCAAAAAGGGACACGUUCUGCAAACUGAUACAGGAGCAUCACACUUGUUCAGAGGUUGACAAAAGGAGGCAGCUCAGACAUCAGGAUUCAAGCCCUAAUUCUAGCUCUGGAAUCCGGGGCGUAUUACUGAACUUCUCAAGGCCUCCAUGUUCUUUUCUAUAAAAUGGGGACAAUAGUGACAUCUACUCACAGGGAGUCUGUUGAAGAUUAAAU
rnacentral:lncRNA from 1 species